UGAGGNCCUUACNGAAUGAAAAGCGCUUAACUGCAUUUUUUCUUACACAUGUGUUUUUCUUUUUUUGAAAACUUUGCUUUGGUAGGCCUUCUAUAUGGGGCCUGCCAGAGAUUAAACUCAACCAAAUUUUAUUUAAUGNCAACCGAUUAUUUAAUAGUCAAAACUUUCAACAACGGAUCUCUUGGUUCUCGCAUCGAUGAAGAACGCAGCGAAAUGCGAUAAGUAAUAUGAAUUGCAGAUAUUCGUGAAUCAUCGAAUCUUUGAACGCACAUUGCGCCCUUUGGUAUUCCAAAGGGCAUGCCUGUUUGAGCGUCAUUUCUCCCUCAAACCCUCGGGUUUGGUGUUGAGCGAUACGCUGGGUUUGCUUGAAAGAAAGGCGGAGUAUAAACUAAUGGAUAGGUUUUUUCCACUCAUUGGUACAAACUCCAAAACUUCUUCCAAAUUCGACCUCAAAUCAGGUAGGACUACCCGCUGAACUUAAGCAUAUCAAUAAGCGGAGGAA
rnacentral:rRNA from 1 species